rnacentral:rRNA from 1 species
GAUGAACGCUGGCGGCGUGCCUAAAACAUGCAAGUCGUGCGGCAGCAUGCCCUUCGGGGUGAUGGCGAGCGGCGGACGGCUGAGUAACGCGUGGGAACGUGCCCCAAAGUGAGGGAUAACUGCCCGAAAGGGUGGCUAAUACCGCAUAUGGUCUCCGGAUUAAAGCUUCGGCGCUUUGGGAGCGGCCCGCGUAAGAUUAGAUAGUUGGUGAGGUAAUGGCUCACCAAGUCGAUGAUCUUUAACUGGUUUGAGAGGAUGAUCAGCCACACUGGGACUGAGACACGGCCCAGACUCCUACGGGAGGCAGCAGUGGGGAAUAUUGGACAAUGGGCGCAAGCCUGAUCCAGCAAUGCCGCGUGAGUGAUGAAGGCCUUAGGGUUGUAAAGCUCUUUCACACGCGACGAUGAUGACGGUAGCGUGAGAAGAAGCCCCGGCUAACUCCGUGCCAGCAGCCGCCGUAA